rnacentral:rRNA from 1 species
UAGGGAAUCUUCGGCAAUGGGGGGAACCCUGACCGAGCAACGCCGCGUGAGUGAAGAAGGUUUUCGGAUCGUAAAGCUCUGUUGUUAAGGAAGAACGAGUGUGAGAAUGGAAAGUUCAUACUGUGACGGUACUUAACCAGAAAGGGACGGCUAACUACGUGCCAGCAGCCGCGGUAAUACGUAGGUCCCGAGCGUUGUCCGGAUUUAUUGGGCGUAAAGCGAGCGCAGGCGGUUAGAUAAGUCUGAAGUUAAAGGCAGUGGCUCAACCAUUGUAGGCUUUGGAAACUGGUUAACUUGAGUGCAGAAGGGGGGAGUGGAAUUCCCUGUGUAGCGGUGAAAUUCGUAGAUAUAUGGAGGAACACCGGUGGCGAAAGCGGCUCUCUGGUCUGUAACUGACGCUGAGGCUCGAAAGCGUGGGGGGCGAACAGG